GACGAACGCUGGCGGCGUGCGUAUACAUGCAAGUAGAACGCUGAAGGAGGAGCUUGCUUCUCCGGAUGAGUUGCGAACGGGUGAGUAACGCGUAGGUAACCUGCCUGGUAGCGGGGGAUAACUAUUGGAAACGAUAGCUAAUACCGCAUAACAGUAGAUAUUGCAUGAUAUCUGCUUGAAAGGUGCAAUUGCAUCACUACCAGAUGGACCUGCGUUGUAUUAGCUAGUUGGUGAGGUAACGGCUCACCAAGGCGACGAUACAUAGCCGACCUGAGAGGGUGAUCGGCCACACUGGGACUGAGACACGGCCCAGACUCCUACGGGAGGCAGCAGUAGGGAAUCUUCGGCAAUGGACGGAAGUCUGACCGAGCAACGCCGCGUGAGUGAAGAAGGUUUUCGGAUCGUAAAGCUCUGUUGUAAGAGAAGAACGAGUGUGAGAGUGGAAAGUUCACACUGUGACGGUAUCUUACCAGAAAGGGACGGCUAACUACGUGCCAGCAGCCGCGGUAAUACGUAGGUCCCGAGCGUUGUCCGGAUUUAUUGGGCGUAAAGCGAGCGCAGGCGGUUAGAUAAGUCUGAAGUUAAAGGCUGUGGCUUAACCAUAGUACGCUUUGGAAACUGUUUAACUUGAGUGCAAGAGGGGAGAGUGGAAUUCCAUGUGUAGCGGUGAAAUGCGUAGAUAUAUGGAGGAACACCGGUGGCGAAAGCGGCUCUCUGGCUUGUAACUGACGCUGAGGCUCGAAAGCGUGGGGAGCAAACAGG
rnacentral:rRNA from 1 species